GUAGCCGGCCUGAGAGGGCGACCGGCCACACUGGGACUGAGACACGGCCCAGACUCCUACGGGAGGCAGCAGUGGGGAAUAUUGCACAAUGGGCGAAAGCCUGAUGCAGCGACGCCGCGUGAGGGAUGACGGCCUUCGGGUUGUAAACCUCUUUCAGCAGGGAAGAAGCGAGAGUGACGGUACCUGCAGAAGAAGCGCCGGCUAACUACGUGCCAGCAGCCGCGGUAAUACGUAGGGCGCAAGCGUUGUCCGGAAUUAUUGGGCGUAAAGAGCUCGUAGGCGGCUUGUCACGUCGGUUGUGAAAGCCCGGGGCUUAACCCCGGGUCUGCAGUCGAUACGGGCAGGCUAGAGUUCGGUAGGGGAGAUCGGAAUUCCUGGUGUAGCGGUGAAAUGCGCAGAUAUCAGGAGGAACACCGGUGGCGAAGGCGGAUCUCUGGGCCGAUACUGACGCUGAGGAGCGAAAGCGUGGGGAGCGAACAGGAUUAGAUACCCUGGUAGUCCACGCCGUAAACGGGGGGCACUAGGUGUGGGCGACAUUCCACGUCGACCGUGCCGCAGCUAACGCAUUAAGUGCCCCGCCUGGGGAGUACGGCCGCAAGGCUAAAACUCAAAGGAAUUGACGGGGGCCCGCGCAAGCGGCGGAGCAUGUGGCUUAAUUCGACGCAACGCGAAGAACCUUACCAAGGCUUGACAUACACCGGAAACGUCUAGAGACAGGCGCCCCCUUGUGGUCGGUGUACAGGUGGUGCAUGGCUGUCG
rnacentral:rRNA from 1 species